AGUGAACGCUGGCGGUAGGCCUAACACAUGCAAGUCGAACGGCAGCACAGUAAGAGCUUGCUCUUACGGGUGGCGAGUGGCGGACGGGUGAGGAAUACAUCGGACUCUACUUUUUCGUGGGGGAUAACGUCGGGAAACUUACGCUAAUACAGCAUACGACCUACGGGUGAAAGCAGGUGAUCUUCGGACCUUGCGCGAUUGAAUGAGCCGAUGUCGGAUUAGCUAGUUGGCGGGGUAAAGGCCCACCAAGGCGACGAUCCGUAGCUGGUCUGAGAGGAUGAUCAGCCACACUGGAACUGAGACACGGUCCAGACUCCUACGGGAGGCAGCAGUGGGGAAUAUUGGACAAUGGGCGCAAGCCUGAUCCAGCCAUACCGCGUGGGUGAAGAAGGCCUUCGGGUUGUAAAGCCCUUUUGUUGGGAAAGAAAAGCAGCAGGUUAAUACCCCGCUGUUCUGACGGUACCCAAAGAAUAAGCACCGGCUAACUUCGUG
rnacentral:rRNA from 1 species